rnacentral:piRNA from 1 species
UUGUUGUUAAACUCUGAUCAACUGCCUGAC